AAGGACGGAGCCUUAUUUAUUUUAUUUUUAUAUAUGUAUAAUGUCCCCCUUUGUAUUUCUUAUUAUUUAAAAAAAAUAUUAAAAAUAAUUUUAAAAGGACGCAGCUGUGCGUUUGAGAAACGACCGGAAACGACUUAUAUGUCGCGAGGCCAUCACGUGACCACAAUAUUUACCAGAAGACCGUUAUUUGCUCGAGUACCCUCAACUUUUUUGUCGCAAAUAACAUUAUUAAUAACCUGUAAAUAAUACAUUUUGUACACAUUACGUUCCUCUUCACUUUGUAAUAGUAUGUUUUUUGGUUUAAUAGUCGGCUUUAAGUUAGUUUUUCUGUCAGUUUGAUCGUCAAAAUCUUGAAAGUUAUCUGCAGCCACACAUCCACUGUAUACCAAGUUAUGAUGAACAAUUAUGAAAAUGCAAAAGGAUUGAUAGAUCAGUAAACAAGCAACAAAAAGCUUUACAAAAAAUGUAGAAUUUGUAGGAGCGCAUGGACAUCUGAGUAACAAAGUCAUAUUAUGCAGAUGGGUGCUCAUGGUGGCCUCCAAAUAAAUACAUGGACAGGCUGCUAAAGAGGGUCAGGAUGAUGGAGAUGCAAGAGCCAAAGACAGCACAGACCAAACACCAGGCCAGAAUUCUGCAUGAGUCAGAUUGAGUAAUUUUCACUCUAGAGACCCUUGGGUGACCACCAAGGACGAAUGCAAACUCCAGUGAGUGUCUCUAAGGUAGAUCCUAAUGCAGAUGGAUGGAAUGUUGAUCCGCCUAACAUGCAAGCUACAGAGGGCAUCCUUUAUUCAGUCCCUAAUGCAGAUGGUUGGAGUGUUGAUCUACCUAACAUGAGGGGUAAAAGAGUGUUUGUUAGCAUAAUGAGAAAGAAAACAGAAACACAUUAUUAGUGGCAUUUAAAAACAUAACACUUGUUUAUACUACAUUUUAUGUUCAAUCCAUAGAGCACUCGUUUUGAGUCCUGAGACCCUGGGGUGACCACCGUGAACAAAUACAGAAGCACUCAAUUUGAGUCCUGAGACCCUGGGGUGACCACCGUGAACAAAUACAGACUGUAAUAGCAGUCUAGACGGUACUAGGAUGAAUGCAAAUAAAGACUAACCACCUGACAUCAG